GGCAGGGUGGCUUAGUGGUUAGAACGUGCGCCUCACACCUCCGAUGUUGGGGGUUAAAGUCCCGCCUCCGCCC